AGCGGCGGUAGUUCAGCGGUUAGAACACGGGUCUCAUAAGCCCGGGGUCGUGGGUUCGAUUCCCACCCCCGCUA
rnacentral:tRNA from 1 species